rnacentral:tRNA from 1 species
GGCUCACUGGUCUAGUUGUAUGAUUCUUGUUUUGGUUGCGAGAGGUCCUGAGUUCGACUCUCAGUUGAGCCC